UGGGUGGUUGGAAAUGGCAGUUCUGGACUGUAGUGAUCAUAUGGCCAUAUUAUGGAUACUGCAACUUCCAGCGCUAAAAAUGCUUUGAUAUCUUCUAUUACCCAGCUGUGAUCGGUUUAUCUUAACACUUUGGCACUGAAGAAGCUGGUUGCUUGGUUAGUGAAUCUCUGUGCUGACGGCUGCUCCUACACACUCUGUCAUGCCUGUCCUUCCAAGUGGUGCCAUUGUCGGUGCAUCUUCUGGUAAAGCUGUUUGGCCGAAGGGUGCAGGAUGGAGUUUCAAACAAAGGAAAAAUAACUGCAGUGCAAGCCUCUCCACUUCUUCAUCAAGCACUAAAGGAAUAUGGAGUUUCUACACUGAUGCUUCCCAUGGGAUCAAAAUCGGUCCCUUUACAGUACUGAUCAUAAGUAUUCUUUUUAUUGCUUUUGUAAUAAUAUUACACAUCUGGGCCAAGUAUACUCGUUCCUAGACUCAGUUGUAGCCAUGUAGUCUUUGCUACUUGCAUUACUGGACAGCAUGAGUUGGGGUGGGUGGAGAAAUGGGGACGCACCUGUCCCAAAACUAUAGUGGGUUUAAAAUUUUUUGUGAAAUGUUUGCAAGCUUUCUCUUUAGACUAAAAGGGGACUUUUAAAAAAUAGUGAGGAUUCCCUUCGCUCUUUUAUUUGGCUGUUGUUGUUUUUGAUCUUUAAAAUGGAAACUUGUUAUACUUAGUAUCUCUGGUUCCUAAAGUUUGUCAGUCACCGGACUAUCCACCUGUAAAAAUGUGUGGAAGAACUCUUUUUAAAUGCAUAAAACAAGGCACUAAGAACAACAUCUUAUGCAAGUUUGAAACAACAAGCUUUUGGAAUGAGUGAUCUACUGGAAGUUUAAUUCUGAUAUAUUUGGAGGAGUUAGUGUUGCAGUUGCCUUAUCUAAUUAUUUAUAUGUAUGCAUAAACUGAUUACAUUUGAUAUGAUUUUAGACAACAUACUGUACAGAUUUAAAAAGUACAUAAACUAUGUUAUCAUAUAGGAAGAUACAGAUUGUAACAUCUAUAGCAAAAAGGCAUGGCAUGACAUAGCUUGCCAGAGUAAUAUGGUUAUUUUGGAUAUGUUUUUAUUUUGAAAGUUGGGGUUCUCCCAAUUCCUUCACUUACUUAA